GAAGGAUGCAGCUGGUGCAUGUCCUCUGCGGUGUCGCCCAGGCAACAUGGGGAAGUCCUCAGGACCGCAAGCCCUAGUGAAUACGGAGCACGCAUUCUGUGUGCGCACGGGUCUCACCUCUCUGUGGAAGCUAUGGCGGCACUCCAGCACGCACACGUCCUCAGGGGCCAUCUCCUCGUGGCAGAUAAUGCAGGGGUCCUCCAUGUUCAGCUGCCAGUGAGAGCAACAAGUCUGCCAUCACUCACCAUGCGAGACGUUCUUCGGGAUUUGAUGGAGGAGGAGCAGGAGCGCUGGGUACCGAGAUGAGAGGGAGAGACUCCAGUCUGUUGCCUGUGCUCACCAACUCCAUCUGCUCUUCAUAC